AACGAACGCUGGCGGCAUGCCUAACACAUGCAGGUCGAACGAGACCUUCGGGUCUAGUGGCGCACGGGUGCGUAACGCGUGGGAAUCUGCCCUUGGGUACGGAAUAACAGUUAGAAAUGACUGCUAAUACCGUAUAAUGACUUCGGUCCAAAGAUUUAUCGCCCAAGGAUGAGCCCGCGUAGGAUUAGCUUGUUGGUGAGGUAAAGACUCACCAAGGCGACGAUCCUUAGCUGGUCUGAGAGGAUGAUCAGCCACACUGGGACUGAGACACGGCCCAGACUCCUACGGGAGGCAGCAGUGGGGAAUAUUGGACAAUGGGCGAAAGCCUGAUCCAGCAAUGCCGCGUGAGUGAUGAAGGCCUUAGGGUUGUAAAGCUCUUUUGCCCGGGAUGAUAAUGACAGUACCGGGAGAAUAAGCUCCGGCUAACUCCGUGCCAGCCGCCGCUGUAAU
rnacentral:rRNA from 1 species